rnacentral:lncRNA from 1 species
GCUCUAUGAUCAUGACCGAGAGGCUUUGAUGGAUUUCGGAAACGAGGCAGACCAAGGAGGCUGAGUUGGAGGAUGAACUGGGAGAACUGAGGGAAGAAUUGAAGUUUUACAAGGAAUGAAUACGAGAGGCUUUCGGUUGAUUCAUCUGCUGAAGGCUCACCUGUUGAAGAGAAACUAGUGGAGUCUGUUUUAGCAACAUCGACCAAAGAUGAGACUGGGGCGGCAUGUGCAUUUUUGGAGCCAAUAGCUGAAAUGGGUCAUGUCAAAGGUUGCUAAAUAUGUGGAAUGGCUUGAGGCCGUCAUCUCAAAAAGUUUUAUCGCUAGUUGCUGAGUUGAAAACACUUCAGAAGAAUAAUGAAACACUUGAGAAGGAUAAAGAACAUCUAAGGAUCAAUCUUCUUUCUGCUGAAGAGGAGUUGAGAAGAGCAGAACGUUUUCUAAUAUUGAUUCUUCCACUUCCAUGUCAAACCUGACAUAGUGUAAUGAACUAAUGAUAUCCCAUAUAUAUUAUGAUGAAUGCAGGUCAAAUUGCUUUUCGAAGAAAACAAAGUGUUAGAUGAAGCUAACAAAAGAUUACUAAAGCAGUACUGCAAGGAAAGAAACAAUUCUGGUUCUGAUGGAAAGCAUACUGAUGUAUCAACAAAGUCAAACAAGUGAAAAUCUAGCUCUAAGGUGAUGAGCAGCAGCCCGAUUCAGGGGAAGAACGAUUUCAGUGACCAAGAAUCAGCAAGACAACCUCUCUCACCCUUGCGUUGUAACUCAUCUAACUCAAGACUGCAUAAAAAGCAAUAGGAAACUUCCGAAAUAGUCUGAUGUAUAUCUCACCUCU